GAUAAAUUAUAUUCUUCAACAGACGCUAAAAGCAGUUGGCGCCAAGGGAAUGGUUGUGGGGCAUACUCCUCAACCUACGGGAGUAAACUGUGAGUACGAUUGUAGCAUAUGGCGGAUUGAUGUUGGGAUGUCCAGCGGAGUUCUUAAUUCAAGACCCGAGGUUCUAGAGAUAAAAGACAACAAAGCAAGAGUUAUAAGAAGCAAGAAGGAUCCAUCCAGUGAAUUAAUGGUUGUCUGAUUAUAUAUAGAGACGAGCAAACAAGUUGUUUUCCAUGACUCAAAUUGUUUGUACAGAAACAAGAGUAACUUCAACGUCGGUAAAGGAGACGCCCUUUUUUACCAUAUUAAGAGCAGAAGCGAAGUAGGAGAAGAAUAUUUACCAUUUUUGGCUCAAAUUCAUCAUAUUUACCGUGAAAAGAAUUUUGUUGCUGAUAAUUUGACUCAUUUGGGUUUGUCAUGUAGUUUGGGCCCAGUUUUUUUACACAAGCUCCUCUUCCUUGUCAUCAAUUGCUAGUUGCAGAUAUAGCUGAGGUCUCAUGGCCUCGUGAUAUUUUUAUGUAAUUUUUCUUUUUCUUUCGAGCUUGCCCCGUUGUCAACCAAAAUAGCAGAAAAAUAGAGA